rfam:Schistosoma curassoni strain Dakar, Senegal genome assembly, scaffold: SCTD_contig0006575
AUCCAACUGACGAGUCUCAUAUAAGACGGAAUGUGCGUCCUGUAU